GCUCUGGAAACUCCCCGAAGACAAGCUGACGUACCCUAUACACGGUCCUUUUUACGGAGAAAUUAACUGAUUGUGAAAGUGGGUUCUUUUAGGAACACCUUACAUUGACUGAUUUAGAGGAAGCUCUUCAAAGAAGCAAUCUGAGCGCUUUAAGGCUGAUUUUAUACAGGUCGUUCUUUUAAAAGACAGAAGUAAUCAUCAGACAAUAUGAAGUCGUCCACAGUAUUGUGUUUGGUACUUUUGACUAUAAUUUUCGCAUCUAGCGUGAAAUUUUCCGCAGGAUUUCCGUCAGCGGCACCAGAGAAAAUAAGGGAUGAUUUGAAAACAUUCGAAGAUAUGAGGUCGCUCCCUUGUGAAGACGAGAAGGACCAGUAUUACUGCAUGUAUGAGAUCGCAAUGGAAGAGUCGUGCGACUUCAAACCAUUUGUCAUGAUGAAAGAAUGCAGAUAUUCAUGCAGCUUUUGCAGACUGUGAGUGGGAGGUGCCCGAGACGAUCACGUGAUCUCAAAGGCAAGUAAACUUAUGUUUGAGGCAAGUCACGGAAAUUACUUUCACAACUGCUUUGUAAAUGCUGAAAGUUCACGGAAAUCAUUUCUAUACAAAUUACCUAACCUUAAAUUACUUAGUUCAAUUUAUUGAAUUUGCAGAGAAAGGUCUAUAAACUGAAGAUAAUAGUAACUAAAAAUAUAGAUAUUUUUAAUCAUAGCUUUAAAUAACUCUCGGGCGCACAAACAAAAUCCCCAACCUGUGAUGGUGAGCGUAGAGGGGGAGGAGUGAGUGGACCCUGACCAUGGCUUUCUGUUUUUAUAAAACAUCUUAAAAGCAGUUUGUGUUUAGUUGAUAGCAUCAGCUUUCACAUAGCGUCAUAUCAUCAGCCAUUUUUGGAUCCACCAUCUUAGAUUUCUCUUAUUUCUCAGGAACACACACACAAAAAGUAACGUAAACUUAUGGUAAGUAAAUCCAAAAUUCUUAAUUAAUGCUGUCAAAUAGGAAUUUUGUCCAAAAAGAGACGGAAUUUAGCUAAACUGGGAUUCAAAAAUGAGGUUGCUAUGAAUGCCCAAAAAUGUACUUAUACCUGUAAUGGCAAAACAAAAUCCCUCCGAGUGAACAUUCAAUUGAAAAUGUACUGGAAGUUUCAUAAUGUUAAACUUCCUUUUCAACUUGCGGAAAAAGAAAAAAAGCAAAACGAAAAAGCAAAACCCAACGGUAUCGUAUCCACACUAGCAUUUGAAUUGUCUCGCAAUCUUUGAUCCCGUGACCAGCCAUAAAAUCGUCAGUCCACCCAUUCGCCCUUUGUUGUACGCCCGAGGUUUAAAGCACCCUAAUGCUUCGAUCGGUGCUUUUUUAAAAGUGCUUUCCAGUAUUGGAAUUGAGAAGUGCUAAAAAAAAAAAAAAAAAAAAAA